GACGAACGCUGGCGGCGUGCUUAACACAUGCAAGUCGAACGGAAAGGCCCUGCUUUUGUGGGGUGCUCGAGUGGCGCACGGGUGAGUAACACGUGAGUAACCUGCCCCUGUCUUUGGGAUAACUUCUGGAAACUGGGGCUAAUACCGGAUAUGAGCUCCUGCUGCAUGGUGGGGGUUGGAAAGUUUCGGCGGUUGUGGAUGGACUCGCGGCUUAUCAGCUGGUUGGUGGGGUAGUGGUUUACCAAGGUUUCGACGGAUAGCCGGCCUGGGAGGUGGACCGGCGACAAUGGGACUGAGAGACGGCGCAGACGGCAACGGGAGGCAACAGGGGGGAAUAUUGCACAGUGGGCGGAAGCCUGAUGCAGCGACGUCGCGUGCGGGAAGACGGCCUUCGGGUGAUAAACCGCUUUCGCCGGAGACGAAGCGGGAUUGACGGUACUUGGUAAAGAAGCACCGGCUAACUACGUG
rnacentral:rRNA from 1 species